UGUUUUAAGGUUCACCCACGUAUUAAAUUACUGUUCAUCGAUUUCUACAGUGCCAGCUGUAUUGAAACGAAAAAAUGGAAGCCCAACCGAAUAUUGUCCACCACGAGCACACUAUAUCGACGCAACGUAUUCGUCAGACGUGUCGUAUUAGAAAAAUCAACGGCGAAAUCUUCAGAAAAUGUUACGUUAGAAAUAACAACGGUAAUGAAACGCCGAAAUGGAUUCAGUUGUCCUACCUGGAGUGGUGGGAUAAUCUCACGGAAAAUACCAACCACUAUCAGGAGUAAUUAAUUAAUACGAUAACGACGGCGCAGAAAUUCCAGCGAAUCGACGUAUUUGCGGGUGAAUCAGCGCACCAGAUUGCGACAAU